rnacentral:rRNA from 1 species
UACGGGGGGAGCAAGCGUUGUUCGGAUUUACUGGGCGUAAAGGGCGCGUAGGCGGCCAGCACAAGUCAGUUGUGAAAUCUCCGAGCUUAACUCGGAACGGUCAACUGAUACUGCGGGGCUAGAGUGCGGAAGGGGCAACUGGAAUUCUCGGUGUAGCGGUGAAAUGCGUAGAUAUCGAGAGGAACACCUGCGGCGAAGGCGGGUUGCUGGGCCGACACUGACGCUGAGGCGCGAAAGCCAGGGGAGCGAACGGG